GGAGGAGUCGCCUAGCUUGGUCGAGGGCGCGCGACUGGAAAUCGCGUAACGGUCAAAAGCCGUUCGAGGGUUCGAAUCCCUCCUCCUCCGCCA
rnacentral:tRNA from 7 species